rnacentral:rRNA from 1 species
UACAGAGACCUCAAGCGUUAUCCGGAAUCAUUGGGCGUAAAGCGUACCGAUAGGUGGUUGUACAAGUCAGAAGUGAAAUCUCCGAGCUCAACUCGGAAUCUGUCUUUUGAAACUGUACGACUAGAGGGGCAAAGAGGAAGCUGGAACGAACGGUGUAGUAGUGAAAUGCGUUGAUAUCGUUCGGAACACCAAUAGCGAAGGCGGGCUUCUGGGUGCCACCUGACACUGCUAGGACGAAAGCGUGGGGAGCGAAUGGG